CAGCAGGAUCAAGGAGCUGCUGGUGGUUCUGGCAACAAGGAGGAUGAUCAAGAAGGAUUGGGGAACACCAGCAAAAAAAGUACUGGGGAAGACGGGCGGGACGAAGGCAUGGAGAUCGUUGUUUGGCGCCAACGUGCGUUUGGUGUUGAUUGCUGGCUGGCUGACUGCGGUGUGCUACCGGCGAUGAGAUCCAGGAGGAGGUGGCGGCGGACAGGAGACGAGGUAGGGAUGAACUGCCGAUUAGGAUGCAGAACUGCUGUUUGUGGAAAAUAUUUGCACUAUGGUUUGGUUAAGAUAUAGAGCUACUAUUUUUAUUCUGCAUUCCUCGUGGGUCUCAUUAUAUGGAUUAAGUACAAGGCAUCUGUGGUUCAAAAGUUUUUAGUAACUUGUGUUUACCUUUACUGUCCGGUGUCGAAUUGACUGAUUAGUUGGUUGAAUUGAUUGUAAAGGAUUGCCCGGUGUGGUUAUCUGAAGAUUGUAGUUUACCAUAUAUGCUUACUACAAAAUGCUUAUUUCGCUUCACAUGCAAGGCUGUAACAUGAUGCAUUUCUCUCACCUUAUUUCUGCAGGACCUUUUUGCUUGCAUUCUCGUGUCUUUUGGCAAGGAGAAAAUUAUCAUUUGGAGGGGAAAAGACACAUGAAAACAUGCAAGAUAGUAUAUGCAAUUGGCAUACCCUUCAGUUCUUGAAUAAGAGUUCAGUGGUGAAGAACACUACAAUUUUUUGGUUGAUGGAUUGGUCUGAAUAUAUUGUAAGGUAUUUUCCAUGAAGUGGUUAUUCAAAGAAUGGAACCGAUUUUAUGGUGAGUCUCUCCUGUAGGAUUCUACUAAUGUUUAUUUGGCUUGAAGAAUGUUACAUGACGUAUUUCUCUGCCCCUUGUGUAUGACUUUUUCCUUACAUUCCCGUAUGUUUUGACAAAGAGCAAAUAUUAUUUGCAGUGAAAAAUACUAUGAUUAAAGCAUACAUGGUAGUAGCCCGAAAUAUUAUUUGUUGCCUUAGUUAUAAUGAUCUAUAUAAGUAAUUUCAUCCUGAUAUGUAUGCGUACGUUUCUUUUGUUAUAGAUUUUACUGAAUGGAUAUGUUAUAACCUCCAUGAUAUUUGAGUGGUCCAGAAUCAAGACGCAUUUUACCCUUCGAUGAACAAUGCAAGGUUUCUUUUGCCCUAAAUUUGAAUCCCAAUAGAAAUUCAACAGGAAUUUAAAAUUCUUAGUUGAUGAUUCAUUUCAGUGUUCAGUACAAUGAGGCUAGAUUAUUUUCAUAAAAUGCCUGCUAAAAUCAUCCUUCGGCCAUCUUUUACUACUCUUGUUCGGUUGUUUAAUGCUGAGUAAUCAAAUAUAUUCUAUGAAGUGCUUCUUGGUAUUUUACAACCGUUUACUCUGAAUUCUGGUCUUCAUGCCUUCAGACAAUUUUCAGGUUGCUUUUCCACGAUUUCAAAUAACUUAUACUGCGCUCGGGGCGUAUCUAGAUCUAGCACAGAAGAGAUGAGUUUCUUGAAGACCCGAAAAAUGAUAAUACUAACAUGAUUGUUUUUAAUAAUGCCAGUCCUGUUCCAUAAAAUAAACAUAGAAUUACAAAGCUCGUGUUCACUCCUGCAAAAAAAAAUCAUAAUAGUUAAUUCUGCUGUAGUUGUAGAUGUACAUCAUUUAUUCUCGCAACAGUUAAUUCUAAGGCCAUUCAUAUCGUUGCAGAUUUUGCCUAUUCUCUGAGAUGGAUGAUGAUGAGCGGUGCAACCGAAAAUUCAGAGCUGGGCUUUACACACUUCAGUGGGUAAGUGAAGUUCCAGUUUUUCUUCUUUACCCUAUUACUGCUCUGUUGUACAUAGAGCAGUGAGUUUAUAUUAGCUAAAUGUUAGAUUGGAAUGCAGGAGUAGCAUGACAACACCAAGGUAGAGACCUGAAGAGAAGCAAGGGGUUGGACCAAGGAAACUAGAACCAUGUUGUCGUGAUGUGGGUCGUGUCGUCUUCGUCCAUCUCCAUGGAGGUAUAUAUACACAGGUUAGGUAUAGGAAAGGAUACCGUCUCCAUGGAACUUUGACUGAUGUGUAAUGUCCUCAUAGGACUGGACCAUUUACAGAGGGAGUACUUGAAAAUAGAUUCUUUAUAUAUUGUUUGGUUCCAUCAGUCGCAUAACUUAAAUUAGCAAUUAGGUAUCUAAACAGUGUAGUGUAACCAUUGUGCUUGCUGCAGUUUUACUUUAGUGUUGAAAUGUUUUUGUUAGCUUGUUCUGUACUGCGAAAUAUUUUUGUUUUCCCAGCCAUUGUUUUCUAAAUCCUAUCAGCACAUUACCUGAUAUGGCCUUUGAAGUUUAUGUUUUAUAACGAGCUUUGCACCUAUCAACUUGAGUAUGGUAUCGUUUAUUAUUUUCUAUUGCGGAUAUUCCAGAGAAAUUUAGAGCUCCACAACCUUCUGAAGACUUAGCAGAGAUGAAGCAAUCAAUCAGUUGAGAUGCACCACAUGAUCUUUUUCUCUUGACAUUGAUGGGUAUUGAACCCAUAGAUCAGCUUAUCAAUGGAACUCUUAUCGAGUUGAGAAG
rnacentral:lncRNA from 1 species